UAAUACGAAGGGUGCAAGCGUUACUCGGAAUUACUGGGCGUAAAGCGUGCGUAGGUGGUUCGUUAAGUCUGUCGUGAAAGCCCCGGGCUCAACCUGGGAAUGGCGAUGGAUACUGGCGGGCUAGAGUGCGGUAGAGGAGAGUGGAAUUCCCGGUGUAGCAGUGAAAUGCGUAGAGAUCGGGAGGAACAUCAGUUGCGAAGGCGGCUCUCUGGACCAGCACUGACACUGAGGCACGAAAGCGUGGGGAGCAAACAGGAUUAGAUACCCUGGUAGUCCACGCCCUAAACGAUGCGAACUGGACGUUGGGAGCAACUAGGCUCUCAGUGUCGAAGCUAACGCGUUAAGUUCGCCGCCUGGGGAGUACGGUCGCAAGACUG
rnacentral:rRNA from 1 species